rfam:Acidithiobacillus caldus SM-1 megaplasmid, complete sequence.
CGACGCCCUCCCGGCAAAGGCGGAGCCCGUCAGCCGGAAGCGAGUCUUGCCUGGGGCCGGUAACGGACCUCUUGAAGCGUAGACAGCGGGCACUAACGCCGUGUAUUAGCCCCGAAAUCAUAAUCGCCGAAGUCUUCAUCGUGUUGGGCGUGGGGACAGCAUCGGAACGCCCGGUAUGGCCAGGGUGUUGCGAUUCGACCGGGGUCUCGGAGCA